UACAGCCAUAUCACGUUAAAACUUCGGUUCCCGUACGAUCAACGAAGUUAAGCAACGGCGAGACUGGUCACUACCCAGAUGGGUGACAACCUGAGAAGAACAGGUGUUGUAAG